GUAAUGAUUAUCGGUAAGAUCAUAAUAAACUUGAAGUUAUCAAAAAAUGAUUGAAUGAAAUCAUUUUAAUUUUAUUGACUGCCAACGUGAUACAGGAUGGUCAUAGUGAAGAGUGAGUGAGUGAGUGAGUGUGUGAGUGAGUGAUUGAGUGAGUGAGUGAGUGAGU